UACGGAGGAUGCGAGCGUUAUCCGGAUUUACUGGGCGUAAAGGGAGCGUAGGCGGCGUGCCAAGUCUGAUGUGAAAGGCCGGGGCUCAACCCCGGGACUGCAUUGGAAACUGGCAUGCUGGAGUGCCGGAGAGGUAAGCGGAAUUCCUAGUGUAGCGGUGAAAUGCGUAGAUAUUAGGAGGAACACCAGUGGCGAAGGCGGCUUACUGGACUGUAACUGACGUUGAGGCUCGAAAGCGUGGGGAGCAAACAGG
rnacentral:rRNA from 1 species